GACAUAAAAAGACUAAAGUUUCCUCCGGACCAGGCUCUUCUCAAUCUGCGAAACCAAAUGCUGCUACUGCAGGAACAUCCACACAGGUUGAACCGUUACGGAGGUUAAGUCUGACUGGGGCCUCCAGACCAGCUUCACAGACAUCACAAAGAUGACGCAUCUCCAAAGUCUCAGAAUUACCACCACAUCAACUGCUCGAGAGUCCACCACCCAUGUCCCCGCAUAUGCCACAGUUGCCAGCAGAGGUCAUUGUGAUGGAAAGUCAGCCUGCCCAACACCAGCAAACAACCACUGAGGAUACAAUUGUCUUACAGUUAACACCCAUACCACCGCAUGAGCAAACUACUGCUCACUUUGCAACACCUCCCACUCCACACACACCUGACUCAUAGACAAGCCCAACCCCCCAAACACCACAGGCACAAGAACAAGCUUUUUGGGCCAGCUGGGCCAGCAUGCAGAGCAAUACUUUGGACUGCUUACGACAACAAACACAGUCCACUGCAAGUGUAGCCCAUCACAUACCACACCUAUGCAGAACCAGCAGCAGGCAAACGAUGGAACUAACAAGAGUGGCCAACACAGUGGAACUCAUGAGGGCAGACUGAUCGACAUAUACCAACGAGUGAUGGAUGAUAAUCAUUGGCUCCAUCAAGGCUACUUGCAGCUUUUUAUGGCCACACAAACAACCCAAGACAACAUGGUCCGAAUGAUGGAGAGUCAAACAUCAGCAACAAGAGACUUAAACUUGACUCUUACAAAUCUAACAAUGCAUUUGACACAUCAAGGGACCCACACAAGCUCGAGCUCAACAACAACAACCCCUAUAGUGACUCCUGUCACGUCACCACCCAGACGGUCUGCCAGAACUCGGAGACACUCCAGUGGAAAGGGGACAGCCACUUAAAAGAGUCACAAGGAAUAAUAAUUUGCCUUUGUUUAUAUUGUUUAUUUGUUUUUCUUUCGAGGUGAUUUUAAAACCUUCACAGUUAUACA